CCUACGGGAGGCAGCAGUGGGGAAUAUUGGGCAAUGGGCGCAAGCCUGACCCAGCAACGCCGCGUGAAGGAAGAAGGCUUUCGGGUUGUAAACUUCUUUUGUCAGGGACGAAGCAAGUGACGGUACCUGACGAAUAAGCCACGGCUAACUACGUGCCAGCAGCCGCGGCAAUACGUAGGUGGCAAGCGUUAUACGGAUUUACUGGGUGCAAAGGGCGUGUAGGUGGGUCUGGCAGUCAGAUGUGAAAACCACGGGCUCAACCUGGGGCUUGGAUCUGAAACUGUAGUUCUUGAGUACUGGAGAGGCAGACGGAAUUCCUAGUGUAGCGGUGAAAUGCGUAGAUAUUAGGAGGAACACCAGUGGCGAAGGCGGUCUGCUGAACAGCAACUGACGCUGAGGCGCGAAAGCGUGGGGAGCAAACAGGAUUAGAUUCCCUUGUAGUC
rnacentral:rRNA from 1 species